GCCGUCCUGGCGUAGGUGGUCCGCGCGCCCGUUUGAAAAAUGGGAGGACCAGGUUCGAUUCCUGGGGUCGGCA
rnacentral:tRNA from 1 species